ensembl:rRNA 5S_rRNA 5S ribosomal RNA
AUCUACAGCCAUACCACCCUGAAGGUGCCCGAUCUCAUCUGAUCUCAGAAGCUAAGCAGGGUCGGGCCUGGUUUGUACUUGGAUGGGAGAAACAUAUUAUAAGGCUGACAUC